UACGGAGGGGGCUAGCGUUGUUCGGAAUUACUGGGCGUAAAGCGCACGUAGGCGGACCGGAAAGUUGGAGGUGAAAUCCCAGGGCUCAACCUUGGAACUGCCUUCAAAACUAUCGGUCUGGAGUUCGAGAGAGGUGAGUGGAAUUCCGAGUGUAGAGGUGAAAUUCGUAGAUAUUCGGAGGAACACCAGUGGCGAAGGCGGCUCACUGGCUCGAUACUGACGCUGAGGUGCGAAAGCGUGGGGAGCAAACAGG
rnacentral:rRNA from 2 species